rnacentral:lncRNA from 1 species
GGAGUCUGCACGCCGCGGCCGUCGGUCCAACGCGGGGAGGCUCAGGGAUUUUCGGCAGCAGCGACUUCAUCCACCCCGGACCGCCGGCUGGAGGACGUGCCUGCAGCCGGCGGGUACCUGCGGCCAAUUCGGUGGAACGAGGACGCGGACUGCGAAGGCAGACUCUAUGUUGAAGAUGCCUGGACUAACCUACUGAAGAUACGUGGUUUUACCAACAGCCAGCACCAAUAGGAAGAUAUGAAUGAAGCCAUCUGAGACCAGCCAUCUGGCAGCCAAACUGCCAACUGACUGCAAAUGCAUGAAUGAUCCCACUGACACCACGUAGAGCACAAAUGAGUUGCCUCCACUGAGCCCAGCCCAAAUUGUUAUCCUAUAAAAUCAUAAAAACAUAAACAGUUGUUUUAAGUCACUAAGUUUUGGAUAGUUUGUUAUACAACAAAAGCUAGCUGAAACAAAUGUAUUAGCUAGAGCAGCUGUGAAUGGCACUAUUUGCUUAGUUGAUUGGCUGAAAUUUGGACUCACUGGUAGGUUACAUUUAAUGGUGUUGAGUUGCCAGAAUUUCUCUGGAAUAAUGUAUAGGAAGGAUUCUAAUGGCCUAAGCCAUUAGAAUCUCUAAGGAGAUAGAAAUAAAGGAGUGAUUUAUUAUAUGUAACUGUGCCUCUUCCCUCACCACACUUGGUCCUGAAAGAGCCUAAGGAAUAGUUUCUUCUCUAAAGCAUUGAAAAAUGCUUUAAUGGGAGAAGCCCCAGCACCCUUGAACAUGUUCAGGCAGCUGCUUUCUAUAGGCCAAGGAUGUGGUGGGAAAAUCUGCCUGAUCUCAAUGUAGAUGAUGAGAUCCCAGAGUAGCGAUCAGCAUUUUUUACCAGCAGGAAUAAUCUUUGGUGGUGGUUGGCUCUAAGAAUUAAAUAGAUGUGGGCCGGGCGUGGUGGCUCAUGCUUGAAAUCCCAGCACUUUGGGAGGCUGAGGUGGGUGGAUCACCCAAGGUUGGGAGUUCAAGACCAGCCUGACCAACAUGGAGAAACCCCGCCUCUACUAAAAAUACAAAAUUAUUUUUGUAUGGUGGCACAUGCCUGUAAUCCUAGCUACUCAGGAGGCUGAGGCAGGAGAAUCGCUUGAACCCGGGAGGCGGAGGUUGCAGUGAGCUGAGAUUGUGCCAUUGCACUCCAGCCUGGGCAACAAGAGUGAAACUCCGUCACACACACACACAAAAAAAGAAUUAAAUAGAUAAUAGAUGUGUAGCCUGCCAAAGCAUUACUUGAUCUGUAUAAUAGAAACCAGACCUGAGGUAACACAUGCAUGGUGAUAUGUGCCUAUAGUCCCAGCUACUCAGGAAGCUGAGGUGGGAGAAUCACUUGAGCCUGGGAGGUCAAGGCUACAGUGAGCCAUGAUUGUACCACUGCACUCCAGCCUGGGAGACAGAGUGAGACCCUGUCUCAAAAUAAAAUAAAAUAAUAAAAUAAAAUAAAAUAAAAUAAAUAGUUUUUAAAGAUUUUGGCUUAAAAGGGUUACAAAUUUUCUAAAGUCACAUAAUAUAUAAAAACAAAUCUGGAUAAUACUGAAUUGUUCUGCUCAUCUAUAAUAUUAUUUUAUGAAGUAAGUUUCAAUAUAAACUUGAAAGAAAACUGACACAAUUUUUUUAAAAAAUAGACAUAAUUUGUUAAUUAAACUCCAUGCAUAAUUAUUAAGGAGGAAAGCAUUCAUGUUUCUUGGAUGUUUCUUAUAUGCUACAUGCUUAUUUUCAUUUAAUUCUCACAAUAAUUCUGUGAGAGAGGUGUUAUUGUUAGGAUAUCUGUAAAUAGAUGAAGACAUUGAGGCUUUAAAAAGUUGAUCUUUUAAAAAAUUGAAUUAUUAAGGAAAGAUUAUACAACUAGAGAAUGAGUGGGGAAGGGAGAAACAUUUAAACAAACUCCAAAAUAACAACGUACACAGCAAUAACCAGGUUUUAUAAGCAAACUUGAGGGUAAUCCAAGAUAUGAAAACUUAAAUUACCAUAAAGUACCAUUUUUUAACCUAUUGACUUAGCAAAAUUAUAUUUUAAAAUAUCCAGUGCUGGAAGGAUGCACUGGUACCAAUGCCAACAGAUCCUUUUCAAAAGCAAAUUGACAGUAUGACUCAAGAGCCUGAAGUGUUCACAUUCUUUGACUCCAUAAUUCCCUUUUCAGGUAUCCAUCCUAAUGAAAUUAGAUGUAAAAAGACAUGCAUUAUCUGAAAUAGCAUGAUAUAUCAGUUAGGACACUGAACUGUAUAAUUUGAGGACUAAUUAAAGAGACUCUUUGUAGAGAUGUGGGCCAGGUGUAGGGAACUCUAAGGAAUAGUGCAGUACCCAAAGGCUAGCAGGAACAGGUGUGUGUGUGUGUGUGUGUGUGUUUGCACAUGUGUGUGUGUGUUGCAGGGGGUGAGGGGACACGUAGGCACCCAGACAUGAAAAGGGGACUGGAGAGAGCAGUUACUGGAACCCACAGGCAGAUGGAGCCAUGUGGAAAGGGUCAUUCAACAAGAGCUGUGACCUUUAGUUGAGAGAAUUAUCCAGCCAGCAGUGACCCUGGAGACGGAGAGCCUGGGGAAUAAAUACCCCAGCAAUACUCUUCUCCCAUCCUCUGAUCUCCUGCCAGGGUCCCCAUUGGCUGAACCCAAUCAAAAGCCAGAGAGCAAUGGAGCCCAUUGAUACAGUCCAUACAAGUCAGCUUCAUAGGACCCAAAGCAGGGAGGACAAGGCUGGAGAGUGGAUCUGGAGGGUCAAAUGGAGGAUAUCCAGCACAAAAGCUUGUAACUAAAGUGGCAAAAAAACCAGAAACAACGGUAAUCUUACAUUAAUAGGGGAACAGUUAAUUAAAUUUUGUCACAGCCACUCAGUAGAAUAUUAUGCAGCCAGUAAAAGUGAUAAUUAGGAACACUUGUCAGCAACAUAAGUGUGAGCUUAUGGUAGAUGACAAUUUUUUUUUUUUUUUUUGAGAUGGAGUUUCGCUCUUGUCACCCAGGCUGGAGUGCAAUGGUGCUGUCUCGGCUCACUGCAACCUCCGCCUCCUGGGUUCAAGCCAUUAUCCUGCUUCAGCCUCCUGAGUAGCUGGGAUUAUAGGCAUGCACCACCAUGCCCAGCUAAUUUUGUAUUUUUAGUAGAGACGGGGUUUCUCCAUGUUGGUCAAGCUGGUCUUGAACUCCCCACCUCAGGUGAUCCGCCCGCCUCGGCCUCCCAAGGUGCUGGGAUUACAGGCGUGAGCGACUGUGCCCAGCCCCAAAUUUUUUAAAGUAUAGAAAAUUACAUGUUGCAACCAUAGCCAAACUUAAAUACAUAAAUGGACAAAGAGCAGAAACAAACAGCAAACAUGAAAGUGUUUGUGCUUGGAUGAUGAGAUCAUAGGUGAUUUUUGUUUGUUUGGUCUUUCUCAAUUCCUCAAACUCUCCUGAAUGCUAUUUUUGCUCCUUUUGUAAAAAGUACUUUUUUUUCCAGACUUAGAAUUCAUCUAAGUCUUUUAAGCAUUGUCAUUAUAUAUGUUUUAGCCCAUUAUAUCCAGGCCAUAAAAAGUAAAGGUGUUGGCUGGGUGCGGUGGUUCACGCCUGUAAUCCUAGCACUUUGGGAGGCUGAGGCGGGCGGAUCACCUGAGGUCGGGAGUUUGAGACCACCCUGACCAACAUGGAGAAACCCCACCUCUACUAAAAAUACAAAAUUAGCUGGGCGUGGUGGUGCAUGCCUGUAAUCCCAGCUACUCAGGAGUCUGAGGCAGGAGAAUCACUUGAACCUGGUGGGGGGCGGAGGUUGCUGUGGGCCAAGAUUGUGCCAUUGCACUCCAGCCUGGGCAACAAGAGCAAAAGUCCAUCUCAAAAAAAAAAAAAAAAAGUAGAAGUCUUAAUAGUAGCCAUUCUCCCAAUACAUAAUGAGUCUCAGAGGUGACCAUGCAUGAGGUACCUAUCACGUACCAGGUACAUGGCAAAAAUCUCACUCCUUCCCUGCUCUCUAGGAGUCUAAGGGGAUGACAAAACCUGUGCUCAAAAUCCUCAUGAUAAACUGAGAAAGAUAACUGCUUUCUUUAUCUUUUCUUUUCUUUUUUUUCUUUUUUUUUUUUUUGAGACAGAGUCUUGCCCUGUUGCCCAGGCUAGAGUGCAGUAGCAUGACCUCAGCUCACUGCAACUGCAACCUCUGCCUCCCGGGUCCACAUGAUUCUCCUGCCUCAGCCUCCUGAGUAGCUGGAAUUACAGGCACCCGCCGCCACUCUUGGCUAAUUUUUGUAUUUUUAGUAGAGACAGGGUUUCACCAUCUUCGCCAGACUGGUCUUGAACUCCUGACCUCAUGAUCCACCCGCCUUGGCCUCCCAAAGUGUUAGGAUUACAGGUGUGAGCCACUGCACCCGGCCCCUUUAAAUUUUUUUUAUUUUUAUUUUUUAAAUUUUUUGCAGAGAUGGGGUAUCACUAUAUCACUAUAUCUAUUUAUAUAUAUAUAUAUAUAUAUAUGCAUUUUUUGUUGUUGUUUUUGUUUUUGUUUUUUUUUUGAGACAAAGUCUGGCUGUGUCGCCCAGGCUGGAGUGCAGUGGUGUGAUCUCGGCUCACUGCAACCACCACCUCCUAGAUUCAAGCGAUUCUCCUGCCUCAGUCUCCUGAGUAGCUGUGAUUACAGGUGCGUGCCACCAUCCCCAGCUAAUUUUUGUAUUUUUAGUAAAGAUGGGAUUUCACCAUGUUGGCCAGGGUGGUCUCGAACUUCUGGCUUUAAGUGAUUCACCCACCUUGACCUCCCAAAGUUCUAGGAUUACAGGCAUGAGCCACCACGCCUGGCCAGGUCUCACUAUAUUGAAGUAAACUGAUGCGUAGAGGUCAACCAAUAUAUUCAGAGUUGUAUAACUCAUACCUAGUUGAGCUGGGGUUUGAAUCUCUGAUGCCAGAACCCACACGCCACCUACACUCCUAUAGCACUUCCCUGGAAAAGAGUGAAAUUAAUUAUUAUUAUUAAAUUCUGGGAUACAUGUGCUGAACCUGCAGGUUUGUUACAUAGGUAUACAUGUGCCAUGGUGGUUUGCUGAAUCUAUCAACAUGUCAUCUAGGUAUUUGUCCUAAUGCUCUUCUCUGCUUUCCCCCAACCCCCUCAACAGGCCCUGGUGGGUGAUGUUCCCCUCCUUGUGUCCAUGUGUUCUCAUUGUUCAACUCCUACAUAUGAGUGAGAACAUGUGGUGUUUGGUUUUCUGUUCCUGUGUUAGUUUGCUGAGGAUUAUGGUUUCCAGCUUCAUCCGUGUCCCUGCAAAGGACAUGAACUCAUUCUUUUUUUAUGGCUGCAUAGUAUUCCAUGCUGUAUAUGUGCCACCUUUUCUUUAUCCAGUCUAUCAUUGAUGGGCAUUUGGGUUGGUUCCAAGUUUUUGCUAUUGUGAAUAGUGCUGCAAUAAACAUACGUGUGCAUGUGUCUUUAUAGUAGAAUGAUUUAUAAUCCUUUGGGUAUAUACUCAGUAAUGUGAUUGCUGGGUCAAAUGGUAUUUCUGGUUCUAGACCCUUGAGAAAUCACCACACUGUCUUCCACAAGGGUUGAACUAAUUUACACUCCCACCAACAGUGUAAAAGUGUUCCUAUUUCUCUGCACCCUCGCCAGCAUCUGUUGUUUCUGAAAUUAAUUAUUGACCAGCAAAGAGACCACACAGUAUAAAAAUACCACUUUAAACCCCAUGUGGUAGGAAAUCAGGGCACAUUAUGGUGUGUAACAAAAAAUAUAGGUUUGUUGCUCUAAUUCCAUCCCUUUCAAACUGAACAAGCAGCCUUAACCAAAUUACUUAACCUCUCUGUGCCUUUCCUUAUCUGUAAAAUGGAGUAAUUAAUAGUGUCUUUUUCAGAGAGUUUGGGGAUGAUUUGUUCCAAUAGUAUGUGUAAAAUGCUUAACAAUAUUGGGCAAUAGCAAGUACUUGAUAAAUGUUAGGUGUUAAGAUAGCAUGCUGUAGUAUAGAAAAUUUCUGAAGCUAAGACACAUUGCCUUAUGAUUUUCUCCCCUGACAGAACCCAGAUUUCAGGAUACUACAGCUAGAUUGCUCUCUCCCUAUUUGGUAAUCUAAAAGAUAGCCCCAAUCUAGGAACAAAGAUGGGAAUAUUUUGACAGAAGCCAUUAUGCCACUGGGUUCCUAACAGAGUUAAACAAAACUCCCCAAGCAUUCAACAUGCCAAUCACAUAUCUGGGGCAUGGGUGGGGGUAGGGGCAGCAUAGGUGGGCUUCUUCCAGGGAAGAAGGCCUUGUCUCCUGCCCUGCUCUCUGUGGUGUUAGGAAGUGCUCCUCCUCCAGCAGGAGCCCCAGAUCAAGCAUCCCUAGGACCCAACCCUGCUGAAAAGUACAUCCAAGUUUGCCUCAAAGGCCUUCAAAUCUUUGGGAGCCAAAUGGCGUAAUAGGAUAUUAAACUUACUGACUUGCAAGACCCUGAGCAAACCUCUUACCCAAAAGUAGAAUAUAUAAAGAACGUUGAAGAAUAACAAUUGAGUUUUAUUCUUUAAAGGCAUUCUCUGAUUUACAUGAGAAUUGAGAAACUGAGAUGUAUGAUUUGUCUGUUAGUCAAUUUCACACCCUUUCAUUCUCAUAAGCCCCAAAUUUUGCUCAGUUAAGGAGCUUGCUUUAGGCCCACCUAUGUAAGUCUGUUAUACUAGCUAAUGUGCCCAUUUGAAUAGUUCAAGGGUCAGCUAAUGCUCUGAGCUUCAUGGCUCCAGUAUAAAGAACAAAUUUAACAAAAUUAAGCUGUUACUGUAGCCGAGUUACCCUUCUGCUCCACACAUAUGUAGUGGGAUCUUGCAGGAUUUCCAUAGUGCCAAUUAUCAAAGGCCUUGACUACUUAGCAUUGCUGUAUUACAGAUGUGCAAACUGAGGCACUGAAAAGUCAAAUUUAAAGUCAUAUUGAGGGCCAGAAAAGGAGGCUUAGUUUGGGGCUUUGGCCAUUUUAGCUACUUAUCUGAAAUUGCUGCAGAUACAACGUAUGAGCAUAUCAAAUAUUUUUGACUGUAUAUAAUUGAUUUCUAAGGUAAAAACAAAUAAAAAGAAACCAAUAAUUUUUAAAGGAAAGAUGUAGUUCAAAAAAAAAACCACCAUUAAACAUGGUGCCAUUACAGGUUAAAACAAAUGCUUUGUGACUUAGACCUCAAAAACAGAGCUUGAUGACUUUACUCCACAAUUUGUGCACUUAGUGUAUAUUUAAAUGCUCUCUGUUAAUUAGAACAACUUCAUUAUGCUAUCAAGAUUCCAGUAAUCCAUAAAACAUGUCAAUUAUGAUUUGAGUUUGUGCGAAGCCCUGUCUGUGAGCUCAUAGUCUCAAUAGCCUCUUCUAGUACCCAGAGGAAGCUAUAGAUAAAAAAUAACUCUAUUGGCAACCCAUCUGUUUCUGUUACUGGAAAUUUCCACACACCUCUGCUUUUGGAAAUCACUUAGAAAACUUGAGGGGAAAUAAUUCCUUUUGCUUUCAGUCUGGCAGCAAGAAGGAUCCUGAAGGAAUUCUGUGGGUCCAGGAUCCAGUGGGGUAAUUCUGUAAAGUGCAGUAGUGCUUGCUUAAAGCCAUAGGCUCCAGAGGUGAGUCCAGAUCAGUGAAGGGGCAAGUUUCAUGGCCAGGUGUUGGCUAGUCUUGUUGCAGGUUUCAGAUUAAAGUGCUGGGUCAUCCAAAGGCAUUUGAAAAGUGCAAAUGGCAAGCUCUGCAGGCCACCGAAUUCUUGUUCAGAGUCCAGAAGCUUCUUUAGAUGUCAUAUCAGGUCACCCUGGCUCCCAAGACCACAGGUUCAGAUCUGGGGAGAAAAGCCCACAAAUAAGAAAAAUCAUUUUUUAUGAUUAGAAAAUAUAUAACCUCCCCAAAAUUUGAGUGAGGAACUAAUUUUUUUAAAAAAGUUCAUCUAGCUGGAAGCCGCAUGGUUUAAAACUUUUCAUUUAAAACUUC